CUCGCUUCAUUGAAGACCCAUUGUGGCCUUCGGCUGUUUUCUACUCUAUGGUCGGGUUGUUGUCGCUUGGAAUUUGUAUGAACUUUUCAUGUUGAUAGACAUUUUUAAAUAAUCUGUUUUUUUUUAUUAAGAUAAGCUGUCCUGAAGUUACGGUGCGACAUGUUUAUGCUGGACAGACGGAUAGAUAGACGGACAGACGGACGGACCGAAUGACUGAUAGAUGGAGGAACGGACGGAUGGAAGGACGGACGGACGG
rnacentral:lncRNA from 1 species